UGAUGAGCAAAGUACAAUCCCACAUGACAUUCACUAAAAAUUUCCAUAGAUAUUCUACCAUACAUAAUUGUGGAAACCGAAUCGUAUCAAUAAAGAAAGAGAUAGAAAUUGAUUGGGAAUAUUCUUUCUUUCUUUACAUAAUUACUGUAGUAUAAAUUGAUUCCUUGCUAGUUUUAUGAGAUUAAUUUUUUCUUUAUUUACAACUUCUUGUGCAUUAUAAAUAGUUCCCCAUCUCAUUGUAAAUAUUAAUGAAGAAAUUAUUACAAUAAGUCUUUCUUCAUGGUAUCAGAGCCAGUUAAUUUCUGACCCAACCGAAACAUGGCUAAAUUAGCCACGAACAGCAGAGGUUCAAUGACCUUCGACCCAGGGUCUGAAGCUACGUUUGCCAUGAACAGAGAAGGCAAUCAAGAUGUAACGGAUCAUUACCUGGAGAUGACUGAAUUUUGUCAAGAAUUGGGCCUGAGUUCGAAGGAACGGAAGUAUGGAGAAGAAGUGAUUCCGGCUUCGGACAUUGUCACGUCUAAGCCAGAAAAGAAAGAAGAGACGACUAGAAAUCAGAAAACAUCUAAAAUCAUAGUAGAUCGUUGUUGCGAACUUGAGGAAGUUCGAAGUCAAAUACUUGGCAGGCGACACCUUCCCUCACAGUUGGAAGUCACUGCGGAUGUGAGGCGAAAGGAAGAUCAAUCGAAAAUAUUGAUGAGCGAACCUGGUGUGUAGGGGUCAUCGGCGUCGGGCGAACCUUCAUUGGAUUUGGAACAUUUGAUGCUGGGCUAAUGACUCCUGUAUUUGGUCUCUCCAAUAAUGGGCCAAUUAAUGGAGGUAAUGGGCCCGUUAGAAUUAAUCAUAGAAUGGGCUUAAAUAUUGGCCCAAAUAGCCCCUCUAGCUUACUAGCCCACCGAGGCAAUUUCUUAAGUGCUUUGCAAUCCAAUACUCAGUCUAAAACUCCUUGGAUUAUUGACUCGGGAGCAUCUGACCAUAUGACGAGUUCCCACCACCUGUUCUCUUCAUACUCCACCUGUGCUGGCAAUUUAAAAGUUAAAAUUUUAGAUGGCUCCCUAUCAUCGGUUGCAGUAAAAGGAAGUAUCAAAAUCUCUGAUUCUAUCACUUUUGAAUCUUUCCUCCAUGUUCUAAAGUUAUCUUGUAAUAUACUUUCUACAAACCAAUUGAUGAAAAACGCAAAUUGCUUUGGUAAAUUUUUCCCAUCUUAUUGUUUAUUUCAGGAUAUAUCAUCGGGGAAGACAAUUGACAGUGCUAAGAAAAGUAAAGGACUCUACAAUUUUGACGAG
rnacentral:lncRNA from 1 species